rnacentral:rRNA from 1 species
GAUGAACGCUGGCGGCGUGCCUAAUACAUGCAAGUCGAGCGAACGGACGAGAAGCUUGCUUCUCUGAUGUUAGCGGCGGACGGGUGAGUAACACGUGGAUAACCUACCUAUAAGACUGGGAUAACUUCGGGAAACCGGAGCUAAUACCGGAUAAUAUUUUGAACCGCAUGGUUCAAAAGUGAAAGACGGUCUUGCUGUCACUUAUAGAUGGAUCCGCGCUGCAUUAGCUAGUUGGUAAGGUAACGGCUUACCAAGGCAACGAUGCAUAGCCGACCUGAGAGGGUGACCGCCACCAGUAGACCUGACACAGGGCCCAGACUCCUACGGGAGGCAGCAGUAGGGAAUCUUCCGCAGUGGGCGAAACCCGGACGGAGCAACGCCGCGUGAGUGAUGAAGUUCUUCGGACCGUAAAACUCUGUUAUUAGGGAAAAACAUAUGUUUAAGGAACGGUGCAAGUCUGGACGGUACCUAAUCAAAAAGCCCCGGCUAACUACGUG